rnacentral:rRNA from 1 species
ACAAUGGGCGCAAGCCUGAUGCAGCCAUGCCGCGUGUAUGAAGAAGGCCUUCGGGUUGUAAAGUACUUUCAGCGGGGAGGAAGGCGAUAAGGUUAAUAACCUUGUCGAUUGACGUUACCCGCAGAAGAAGCACCGGCUAACUCC